ACUCCUGCGGGAGGCAGCAGUGGGGAAUUUUGGACAAUGGGCGAAAGCCUGAUCCAGCAAUGCCGCGUGAGUGAAGAAGGCCUUCGGGUUGUAAAGCUCUUUUGUCAGGGAAGAAACGGUGAAAGCUAAUAUCUUUUGCUAAUGACGGUACCUGAAGAAUAAGCACCGGCUAACUACGUGCCAGCAGCCGCGGUAAUACGUAGGGUGCAAGCGUUAAUCGGAAUUACUGGGCGUAAAGCGUGCGCAGGCGGUUUUGUAAGUCUGAUGUGAAAUCCCCGGGCUCAACCUGGGAAUUGCAUUGGAGACUGCAAGGCUAGAAUCUGGCAGAGGGGGGUAGAAUUCCACGUGUAGCAGUGAAAUGCGUAGAUAUGUGGAGGAACACCGAUGGCGAAGGCAGCCCCCUGGGUCAAGAUUGACGCUCAUGCACGAAAGCGUGGGGAGCAAACAGGAUUAGAAACCCGUGUAGUCC
rnacentral:rRNA from 1 species